UGUACGUGCAUGCACGUUGCGCGUGUUCGUAAGGGAGUCUGCCUGCCUGGACCGGUGGGGUUGACGGCAUCGCGACGGUAUGCGUCUUGCACCACCGAUUUCCUCCUCGGCGCCGUUGUACCUGCGAUGCGUGAUCAGGAACGCCCGCGGCAUCUUCCUCGUCUUCUCGAUCUUCCUCCUCAGAGCACACAAGUCAUAUUCCCGUCAACUUAGGACUCACAAAUCAACUAACACUCGUCGCACCGACCGUGGUCUGCAACGGGGGUCUCGCCGAGAUGCGCAGAUGGGGUAACUCAGCCGCGCGGGUACCAGGUUUAUUAAUUAAUCAACGAUUAAUUAACGAUUCCGACUUGGAGAACGUGCGUGCGUCCGGAUGGCACGGGGAUUGCGUUCGCCUCGGCAAUUUCGGGCGCAAUAGUUGCCCCCGCUAAGAUUCGGGGCUACAUAUAGCAGCGGGACCUCCCUCACCCCCGCCACCGCCGCCACAGCCGCCAUCGCGGCGCUCUCUUCGUCGUCUUCUUCGUCUUCAGCUGCACGCGCUCAGAAGCGUGCCUGGUCCCCCCCUGGUCCCCCCUCGCACGCUCCCGUGCGCGUGUGGUGGUCCCGUUUGUGUGUCGGCAAUGUGCGACACGCGUGACGAACACCUACGUGCGGGAGGGUGCAGGAGAAACUACGCGGGAGGGUUGUGCCCGGGCCCCGCGGCCUGUGCAGGGUGGUUGAUGCAUGACCACCCUCGACAAGUCCUCUCGACAAGUUGUCUCGUAAUUAUCGCUCAUUAUCGAAUCUUGAAUUAUUGAAUCAUAAAUCGAUAUGUAAAUUGCUGAAUUGUUUUUAUCAGACAAGUGUGAAUUGAUGAUCCUUCUCGUAAUUUAGUAUUCUUGAUUGGAAUGCAUUCGAGAUAAUGAAUUCAUUGUUUUUGUUAACUCUGCAAUUGGAUAAUUAAUUUGUAAAGUGAGAAAAAUAACAAAUAAUUAAUUAUUAUUGAAUUAUCAUUGUAUAAUGAGUGCGUAGUUCUGGUUCGGCUCGGGGUCCCUUCUAUCUCUGAAAAAUGCGCAACAAGUAGCGCGGGAAGCUGAAAAGAAGAACUGAUCUUCCGCGUUCUUGAAGCAACAAGCUCAUCAAUCCGCUCGGACGUGAUUUACACGGAGGACGAUGCCGAGCAGAUAUGAUAACGGCGCCAUUUCGUCGGCGGCUACAGGGUAGGAGCAGACAAGUGAGUACCUCCGCAUGGAGGAUCGUCCGAUCGUGAGAUAUUUGGACAUGACGGCGAAGAAAUAUAACCAGUUGACAUUUUCGACGGCUCCGAGCAGGGUUGAAAAAAUCUGGGGAGGAAAAAAAACGCCGACCGGAACGACUCUUAAUUUAGUUCUGGGCGCAAGAGGUUAACACUAGGUGGAGACGCCCGUGGAAGCGCCUCCCCUCAGUAGAGAACACCAUGGAGACACGUUGGCUCGUGUUUGGAGGAAUGUCCUCGAGGAUAAAAGGAGACAGUUCCUUCCGGAGACAGCGAUCAGCCGCCUGUUUCAUUCCCCCCUCGAUCGUGUUGCUAUUCUUGCACCGUUGCUGCCGGUACGAAUUCAGCUACUUGCUUCGGCGUUACUGCAGCGUAGGAAAGCUGUCCAAGAGCAAUUUGAUAUUAUUUGAUUGAAAGUCCUUUUUACAAAUUGUAACGCUUAAAUGUUCCACUCUUUUCCCCCUUGCGAUAAAAACUACUUCUACACCUUAAAAUAAUUAAAAUAAGUAGACUUGUCAUCGCGUAUCAUUAAAUUAUAAUCACUAGAAAUUAAAUAUGAUAU